GUGUGCUGCCGCCGCGCGGGAGGAGAGUGUGCGUUGCGCUUUCUCCUGCGAUCGCCCUGCGGGUCGCUAGCUCCGAGGGCGCGCACUGGAUCCCAGGCUCCUCCGAGAGCGCGGCGACCCCGGGGCUCCGCCGGCACCGGAGGUGGCUCGGAGGGCAGGGACGUGUUGGACACGCUGACUUUGUAGGCUCCGCCAAGAGGCGCCGCAGGAGGCCGUGGCCACCCAGGAGCCCGAUGUGCAAGGCAGGUGUGAGUGCCAGGACGGCAUUCCUGGAGAUGAAGGCCUGGAGCUGCGGUCUGCGGACUCGGCAGUGCCCGUGGCCAUGAUCCAGGCUGCCGUGCGGCCCUGGGCACCCUACCUGGAGAACAUGACCACUCCCCCAAACGGCCUCGGGCCAGGCCCCGCAGCCCCCUGUGCAGGCUCGGACCUGAAAGACCCCAAGAUGGUGACCUCCCUUGCGUGUGGAAAUGGAGUCUGUGGCUGCAGCCCUGGUGGUGACACAGACACCCAGGAAGCCAAACUCAGCCCAGCCAAGCUUGUGCGCCUUUUUUCCACCAGUCGGAAGAGGACGGGUGCCCACCCCGAGCGGCCCCGCUCCAUGGUCCUGGUGGGGAACUCCUCCACAUGGAACACCCUCGCCUCCUUCCGGAAAAUGGGAUCCUUUAAGAAACUGAAGUCCUCAGUCCUGAAAGGAAUUCAGAGCCGAGAGGGGUCAAAUGCCUGUUCAAAGGGAGAGGCUUUGGAGCAUGGCCUGGGAAAGUCCAUCCCAAAUGGCACUGUCCCAGGAUCCCAGGCAAGCAGGGGCUCCCCCUCAGCACCGGGACCAGCAUGUGGUGCCCUCAGGCCAGCAGAGUGGGGCACGUUGGACGGCUCCGACCUCGAGGACACGGACGAUGCCUUCCAGCGGAGCACACACCGCUCCCGCAGCCUCCGCAGAGCCUAUGGCCUGGGCCGCAUCUGCCUGCUGGAUGCGCCCCAGAACCAUGCGGCACCCACGAUAGCCCCUGGCCAGGUGCCCGCCAUGUGUGAGAUUCUCGUGAGGGACCCUGAAAACAACAGCAUGGGCUACAGGAGGAGCAAGAGCACGGACAAUCUUGCCUUUCUGAAGAAGAGCUCCUUUAAGCGGAAGUCCACCUCCAAUCUUGCAGACCUCAGGACGGCCCAUGACGCACAGGUGCCACAGAGGACCCUGAGCAGUUCCUCCACUGACUCCCAAAAGCUCGGGUCAGGAAGGACCAAACGCUGGAGGAGCCCGAUAAGGGCCAAGGACUUUGACAGAGUCUUCAAACUUGUGAGCAAUGUGACUGAGGCCGCCUGGAGGAGGGAGAGUCCCAGGAGUGGGGCCCCAUCCCCUGGUGAGGCCAGCCUGAGACUCCAGGCACACAGCCGGCUGCAUGACGACUACUCCCGCCGUGUCUCCAGGAGCACUGAGCAGGACAGCAGGCGGGGCGGGGCGGUCAUGCAUGGGACCACUGCGGCUUGCACCAUGGUCCCUGGUUUCGGCUCAGCCACCUCUAAGGGGCCCCACCUAGACGCUGACACUGCCGUAUUUCCUCUUGAAGCCAAAAGUUCCUGGGCGGUGGAAAGCGACAGUUCUUGCACUGGCAGCUCCUCGCCAAGCCCGAUUGUCCAGGAUGUGUUGAGCAAAGACUCCUGUGACCCAAACGCUGGCAGCCAGUUGACAUUUGACCCUGAGCAGCCUCCCACCCCUCUGAGGCCCACCACACCCAAGCCUCAGAGCCCUCAGAGCCCCGGGGCAGGAAGUGCCAACUGUCACAGCGAUCACAGCGCCCUGUCCGUGAAUUCAGAGGAAAGUGAAGGAAGGACAGAAGAGCCUGCUCAGAGAGAGCCAGGGCCUGUGUCCUUGCAGGAUCCCCUGGAAGCCACACAUGGUGAUGAGGGCAGCAAGGACCUUCUGGUGAACAUUGGUGUGGCAGCCGGCCCAGAAGAAAAGGAGAAGGAGGAGGUAAGGGCAGCGACCAGGUCCCUCACGUGGACCACCCUGCUGUGGGAAGGGAGCUUGCACAGAUGUUGCCCUUGGUCCCUAACCUGUCAAGGUUAGUGGCCCUCUGCUGACCUUGUUGCCCUUACAGUAUUAGCGGGAAUGGGAGUUGUCAAGUUGCUGUUUACCAAGUUCAGAAGUAAUCUCUAUCUCCUUUGAAAUAAACUGACAAUGUACGAG
rnacentral:sRNA from 1 species